rnacentral:rRNA from 1 species
UGGUGGAGUGGUUUGUCUGGUUAAUUCCGUUAACGAACGAGACCUCAGCCCGCUAAAUAGUUGGACGAACACUUUGUGUUCGUACACAACUUCUUAGAGGGACAUUCGGUGUUUAGCCGAAGGAAGUUUGAGGCAAUAACA